rnacentral:rRNA from 1 species
GACGAACGCUGGCGGCGUGCUUAACACAUGCAAGUCGAGCGACGCUCUUCCUUCGGUGAGGUGACGGAGCGGCGAACGGGUGAGUAACACGUGGGCAACCUGCCCCUAGCUCUUGGACAACACCGGGAAACCCGUGCUCAUACCGGAUACGGCAUCGAGCGGCACCUCUCGGUGGGUAAAAAGUUUUCGGGUAGGGAUGGGCCCGCGGCCUAUCUGCUUGUGGGGGGGGGGUUGUCGCACCCAGGGGCGGACGGGGGGCCGGGCUGGGAGGGCGGCCAGACAGACAGGGACUGAGACACGGCCCAGCCUCCGACGGGAGGAGGGAGGGGGGAAGAUUGAGGAACGGGCGAAAGCCGGACGAAGCGAGGCCGCGGGAGGGAUGCCGGCCUUCGGGUUGUAACUCUCUUUAAGCAGGGACGAAUUCAGACGGUACCUGCAGAAGAAGCACCGGCCAACUACGUG